UCGAAACCUGCAAAGCAGACCCGUGAACGUGUGUUGUUACCUCGAGGGUGUCGGGGCCUGGGCCGUUCGCGCGGCUCGGCGUCUCGUCUCCCUCGCUCGGCCGGCGCCUGCGUCGUCCGUGCUAACGAACCCCGGCGCGGAACGCGCCAAGGAAAACAAAAAUAGAUGAGCCGCGCCCCUUUUUGCCCCGUUCGCGGGUGCCAUUUGGGGGUACGCGGUCUCUCUUGAAAGUCAUAACGACUCUCGGCAACGGAUAUCUCGGCUCUCGCAUCGAUGAAGAACGUAGCGAAAUGCGAUACUUGGUGUGAAUUGCAGAAUCCCGUGAACCAUCGAGUCUUUGAACGCAAGUUGCGCCCGAAGCCAUUCGGCCGAGGGCACGUCUGCCUGGGCGUCACGCAUCGCGUCGCCCCCUCCCACUCCUUAGGGAUAUAGGGAAGGGGCGGAAAAUGGCAUCCCGUGCUCCUUGGAGCGCGGCCUGCCCAAAUGCGAUCCCGCAUCGGCGGAUGUCACGACAAGUGGUGGUUGAACAUUCGACUCGCGUUUUGUCGUGCCUAUCACCGUCGCUUGCUAGGGCAUCAAUUUGACCCAGCGGCGCCUUAACCGGUGCCUUCGAC
rnacentral:rRNA from 1 species